ACAUAAUCUCUGCCUCAAGAAGCUUUCAGCCUAGUGGGGAAUUACAGUGUGUGGCAAGAUGCUGAAAAUAUGUGACAGCGUCAGGACACCAAGACCUUACGUUAGUGGGGAAGGAAGUCUGCAAUUCUACAGUGUCAGUGUUUUUGCCUUUAUUGACUCAAGUUAAUUAAUAUGUGUGUGUGUCUCUGUGUGCAUUUUUAAGAGAAAUCACCUCUGCAGAGAUGUUCUGGAGGAACAUUUAUUCUGGCCUGUUUUCUACAAUCCUCUCGGGAAAGUUAAACUGGCUAAUGAGCACUGGACUAGGAGACGGUGUCAAAUCCCGCCUCUGCCAUCUUCUUCUUCUUGUUUUACCUGCAAAUGUCUCAUUUUCCACUGCAACUGCUUGCAGCUGUAUCCCUCCACAAAUGGAAACAGAAUGCUCGCAGCAACCACCACCAAACGUAUAA
rnacentral:lncRNA from 1 species